rnacentral:misc_RNA from 1 species
GAAAUGCGAUAAGUAAUGUGAAUUGCAGAAUUCCGUGAAUCAUCGAAUCUUUGAACGCACAUUGCGCCCUCUGGCAUUCCGGGGGGCAUGCCUGUCCGAGCGUCAUUACGCACCCUCAAGCCCGGCUUGUGUGAUGGGCCCUGGCGUCUCGUUCGCGAGACGGGCCCGAAAGGCAGCGGCGGCGUCGACCCGAAGAGCCCGAGCGUAUGGGGACUUUUGUCACACGUUUGCGGUGCGGACCGGCGCCUGCUUGACUUUUCUGAUUAUCCAGGUUGACCUCGGAUCAGGUAGGGAUACCCGCUGAACUUAAGC